UACGUAGGGUGCAAGCGUUGUCCGGAAUUAUUGGGCGUAAAGAGCUCGUAGGCGGUCUGUCGCGUCUGCUGUGAAAACUCAGGGCUCAACCCCGGGCCUGCAGUGGGUACGGGCAGACUAGAGUGCGGUAGGGGAGACUGGAAUUCCUGGUGUAGCGGCGAAAUGCGCAGAUAUCAGGAGGAACACCGGUGGCGAAGGCGGGUCUCUGGGCCGUAACUGACGCUGAGGAGCGAAAGCAUGGGGAGCGAACAGG
rnacentral:rRNA from 1 species